GACAUAAUACGGCGACGCGCCCUUUUCAUUGACAAGGAUGCGAUGCUUGUUUUUCCAGACGCACGCCGCGCGUCUCUGUGGGUCUUCUUUGUAGAUCGACGCACACCGGCAUAUGUCAAAUUGCCAGUGGCCAGCGGCACUGUCAAAGGCAACACACGUCAUGCAUUCAUGUCCUUUGGCCGUGAUGACGCCCAUGGUCAGCGUGUCAAAGGCCUCGCGCAUGCCGUCAAAGCGCGCGCCAAGGUCCUCGUGAGGCGCGACAUCGAGCACCCAGUCGAUGAGCGGUUCGCUCCAUUGCGGUUCGGCGUCCGCCGUGUGGCAUUCCGCGUCGACCCAUGCGACGACCCCAGCGACUGUCUCGUUCAGCAUGGCCCAUUCGGGCGAGGCGAUCGAGAGUACGCGCAGCCAGUCGGUGGCGCGCGUGUCGCCCCGCAGCGCCUCGCAACACAGUCCAUAGGCCAUAUCCGCGACAUAGCGCGGAUCGCGGUGGGCCACGCGCGACUCUAUGUCGGCCAUCCGAUGCCACGAGAGGGGCUCGCUAACGGCAGGCGCGACGCUCUCGCCGCGUGCACGCGCUGUCUGCACAAACGUGUCCCAAGACACGGUGCGACCAUACAGGUCUCGCCACACGCCACGGGCGUCUGCAGCGAAUGUGAUGCCUUCCAGUAGGAUCGUGUUUCCGGAGCGGGCCUCGUCCCAGUGCGCGCCGAUGUGGCGGCGCAGCCAGGCCACGUCUUGAUCACGCAACGCCUCUUCCAAGCUGGCCAGAUACGCCAGCGCAUCAAAGUCCACCGGCGUUGUGGGCGCAACAGUAAUGUUGGCGUCUGCGAUUUGUGCAACGAGGCGCAGGCGCCGGGCCGCGGGUCCAUACAAAAGGGGCAGCAUCAAGUACAGGGCUCGGCGGUGCUCGUCGCACGCAUCCAAAGAGGCGCCCUCGAUCAGAUCCUCGACAAAACUGCCGACUUCCGGCAGCCUCGCGACCUCUUUGCCGUUUUUGUCAUAGACGCUCAUCAUAUCGUCGCCAGUAGGGUUGGCACGCGCGUCGGCCAGCGCGUGCGCCACAUCGCGCGUCGUCAUCACCGCGCCGUCGGGGACCACGGUUUUGUCGCCCGUCGUCUUUCCGAGGCGCCACGCGUUGCUCCAUAUGCACACGGCGCCCGCUCCGCACUCGUCUGCAGUAAUGACAAGCCCAAACGAGUUGUUGCCGGCGUCACCCUUGUCGCCACUUGCACAGACAUCGUGUGUGGCCUCUAGCGCGCAAAGAAGAUCACACAGAAUGACGCCAUCGCAUGCCACGUCGAGGGGCGUAUCCUGGCCGACCUCUUGCGUGGCAGCGAUAACCCGUGCCAGUCGCGCGAGACGCGGACAUGUCCUGCCCGUCCGCAGGUUGGUCGCCGUGUCGGCAAAUAUCUUCCACUCGGGUUUGCCGACCAUGGCUGCGAUCGCCAGGGCGCAGUGCGCCACGUCGUCUCCGCACAGAGCGCUCGCGAGCCACGAUCGCACAAAAAUCUCGUAGGAACCAAACUCGUUCGGGGACGACGCGCGCCCGUUGACGCAGAGUGUCCUCGAAUACAAGGUCGGGUCAGCCUGUGCGAUGCGGUCGAUGAUCUCGCGAGCGACAGUGUCGCUCGAUAUGGGCGCGCCCUCAUAAAGCACCUCGCCAUUCAGGGCGAUGCUUGUGAUAGCGUCGUUGGCGUAAAUGGACGGAUUCGCCAGGAUGUUCACCACAUCGAGCACCUUGCUUUGGGCGUGCGCUUUGGUCAUGAGAGCCACGGCCUGCCGUAUGGUGUCGGACACGGUGCCAGAGGCGGGGGGGUGAUGACGGAGCGCGUCACAAACGGGUUCGGCGGGUGCGCUCAUGGCCGUUGUGGUUGUGGCGUCGAUCUUUUUUUUUUCAAAAACAGAAUCCUGCUGUCCUUGUCGUUGUCGCUGGGAAAACGUCGGCCGGCGGACGUUGAUGUUUUUGGAUAGGCCAAUGGAAUAAAAAAGAGGACACGA
rnacentral:lncRNA from 1 species